GGCGCGAAAACUUUACAAUGCUGGCAACAGCGAUAAGGGAACCUCGAGUGCCAGGUUACAAAUCUGGCUGUCGAGAUGCCUAAAAAGCAUUUCAUAGCAAGGGCCGGGCAAGACCGGUGCCAGCCGCCGCGGUAACACCGGCGGCUCGAGUGGUAACCGUUAUUAUUGGGUCUAAAGGGUCUGUAGCCGGCCGGAUAAGUCUCUUGAGAAAUCUGGCAGCUUAACUGUCAGGCUUUCAGGAGAUACUGUCUGGCUCGAGGCCGGGAGAGGUGAGAGGUACUUCAGGGGUAGGGGUGAAAUCUUGUAAUCCUUGAAGGACCACCAGUGGCGAAGGCGUCUCACCAGAACGGACCUGACGGCAAGGGACGAAAGCUAGGGGCACGAACCGGAUUAGAAACCCCAGUAGUCC
rnacentral:rRNA from 1 species